rnacentral:lncRNA from 1 species
UCGAUAACAUGAAUAUUAACUAGUGGAAAAAAGUAGAGUUUGUAGUGGAGUUCUUUUAGAUCAUAAUAGACAGCAUGCCAUACUUAAGCUACUUCCACCCGAACCACAAGCAAACUUUCCAGCAGCAUCUUUCCAUUUUCCAUUAUCAUUCUUUAUGCUCUAAAACUAAAUAACUCAAAAGGAUGAUACCUACAAUCAAAAGAGAGACAUAAGAAAUACCAUGCUACAAACUUCCACUCCAUUGUUUUUUUAACUAAAGACUCUUAGCAACCAAAAAACUAAUGGUUUUUAACUAUGUUUUACAACCACAAUUGCAGCAAUAUUUUCCCACAAUUAUGGUAAAUGCAACAUAACCACAACCACGAUAUGAAACCAUGUAAAUCAGUAGUAGCAGAAUAAAACUAACUGGAAAGGAAUUGAAUGCAUUGUAGUAUUGAUUCAGAAAUCACUCUUAAGGAGUUUUUACUUUAUUUUUAAUGGUGCUAAAAAUGAAUUACAUCGUUGAUUUAUAUUAUAGAUAUUCAACAAAGUUUUACAUUGAUUGUCGAAUAUGAAAACUUUGAUACAAAAUAAAAAUCACAAAAAUGGAAACUUUGAUACAAAAUAUUAAAUUCCCACAUUUAUUUUUAAACAACACUUCAGCAGGAAAAAAACACAAAAUUCAUUCUAAAAUCCCCAAAUUUCGGCACGUUACUAAUUUGAUUUUAAAAAUUGAAAGAAUAGCGAAGCAAAAAGGGAAAAGAAUGAAGAAGACUUUGAAGCAAAGACCGAAGGUGAUUGAAAUCGGAGUGGAUGGUUGAAGAGAGUGAAACGGUGCGUUGCAGAGUGUGAGUUAGGUUAUUGAAGUCACGUUUGUUUUGCAAUACCUUAACCACGUCGUUGGUGUAAC